GUAGAGAUCAUGAUUUUAGAACAUGGGCUUUUGGCGAUAACUUUUGAUUUCGAACAUACAUGAAGGUCCUUUGUUUCUGUUAAACAGCUCACGCUUACUUUGCUCUUCAUUUUUAGGGAUGGCAUUUGAUUUGUGCUUACAGUAGGUGCAACAAUCUUGCACUGGGCACAUCUGUUGGGAACCAAAGUCCCUCUAGACAGUCAAAGCAGCAGAGGCUG